rnacentral:rRNA from 1 species
CAGCAGCCGCGGGAAAACGAAGGGUGCAAGCGUUAAUCGGAUUUACUGGGCGUAAAGCGUGCGUAGGCGGCUUCUUAAGUCGGAUGUGAAAUCCCUGAGCUUAACUUAGGAAUUGCAUUCGAUACUGGGAAGCUAGAGUAUGGGAGAGGAUGGUAGAAUUCCAGGUGUAGCGGUGAAAUGCGUAGAGAUCUGGAGGAAUACCGAUGGCGAAGGCAGCCAUCUGGCCUAAUACUGACGCUGAGGUACAAAAGCAUGGGGAGCAAACAGGAUUAGAUACCCCCGUAGUCCCUGUCUCUUAUAC